rnacentral:rRNA from 1 species
AGCCAGACUCCUACGGGAGGCAGCAGUGGGGGAUAUUGCACAAUGGGGGAAACCCUGAUGCAGCGACGCCGCGUGGGCGAAGAAGUAUUUCGGUAUGUAAAGCUCUAUCAGCAGGGAAGAAAAUGACGGUACCUGACUAAGAAGCCCCGGCUAACUACGUGCCAGCAGCCGCGGUAAUACGUAGGGGGCAAGCGUUAUCCGGAUUCACUGGGUGUAAGGGGAGCGUAGACGGCCAUGCAAGCCUGGAGUGAAAGCCCGGGGCCCAACCCCGGGACUGCUCUGGGAACUGUGCGGCUGGAGUGCGGGAGGGGCAGGCGGAAUUCCUGGUGUAGCGGUGAAAUGCGUAGAUAUCAGGAGGAACACCGGCGGCGAAGGCGGCCUGCUGGACCGCGACUGACGUUGAGGCUCGAAAGCGUGGGGAGCAAACAGGAUUAGAUACCCUCGUA